GACGAACGCUGGCGGCGUGCUUAACACAUGCAAGUCGAACGGAAAGGCCCUGCUUUUGUGGGGUGCUCGAGUGGCGAACGGGUGAGUAACACGCGAGUAACCUGCCCUUGACAUUGGGAUAACUUCAGGAAACUGGGGCGAAUACCGGAUAGGAGCUCCUGCUGCAUGGUGGGGGUUGGAAAGAUUCGGCGGUUGGGGAUGGACUCGCGGCUUAUCAGCUUGUUGGUGGGGUAGUGGCUUACCAAGGCUUUGACGGGUAGCCGGCCUGAGAGGGUGACCGGCCACAUUGGGACUGAGAUACGGCCCAGACUCCUACGGGAGGCAGCAGUGGGGAAUAUUGCACAAUGGGCGGAAGCCUGAUGCAGCAACGCCGCGUGCGGGAUGACGGCCUUCGGGUUGUAAACCGCUUUCGCCUGUGACGAAGCGUGAGUGACGGUAAUGGGUAAAGAAGCACCGGCUAACUACGUG
rnacentral:rRNA from 1 species